UAAUUGCUAUUCUUACUGGAGUGAGAUGAAAUCUUAAUUUUUGUUUGCAUUUCUCUAAUUGCUAGAGAUGAUGAACAUUCUUUUCAUGUAUGUUGAUCAACUGUGAUUUCUACUAUGAAGAAGAAGCCCAUUUAUUAUUGAUUGGGUUAUUUGGUUUUUUGGUAAUUAUUUUUUUAAGUUCUUUAUUUAUGUUGCAGAUUAGUGCUUGAAGUGAUCUUCCACCUCCCGAAUUUUCUCUGAUUCCACUUCUUACAUCAUCCUUAACCUCACAGAUCAAUUUAACUAUGUACAUUCUAAACUCCUUCUCUGACAUUUCUUCUACUGAGGUGUGACUGCAUUCUAUUAUUGCAGCAUCUUGGUUUCAUUUGAGGGGAUUUGUUCCCUUUUCAUAUUGUUUGUGUGGCUACUUAUCUAUAAGUAUGGGUCUGAGGCAGUACAGUUUCUACCCUGUAGACUUAUAUUGUUCCUGAAUGUUUCCAGUACCUUGCCAUUAAGGGGGAGAGAAAAAAAAUAACAGCAACCAAUGCAAACAAUAUACAGCCUUAAACCAAGUAGCUCCUCCUAAGACAUCUACAAUUUUGUUGUAAUAAACAGAAAUAAUAUGAUCAAUUAUUGACUACAAUAAAACAGUAAGUUUGCAAAAAGUUUUACAAUCUCAAAUGCUGGACAUAUAGAGAACAGAAAUGUUGUAGGAUGUGAUGUUUAUGAGGGAGGAGGAGAGAAAAUAGAAGUAAAAAAUUAUAGGAAGUGUGAAGAGAGAAUAGUAGAGGUUGACUGUUAGCAGAAUAAAAGAGAGAAAGAGACUUGAGGGGCAUGAAUAAGUGAGAGAAAAAUAUAUACAUAGUAUAUAUUUUAAAAAAUUAAAACCAGAAAAAAGUAAAAAUAAAAGAAUACAAAACUGAAAUAUACUAAUCCUAGUUCUCAAUAAAUUGAUGCAUGAAAAAAAAUUGGUUUUAAAAAUGGUAGAAAUGUAAGAGAAAAAAGAAAAAGAAAAGAAAAAAAGGAUUCCAAUGAAAAAUUGAACAAUUGUUUCUGUUGGAGUUCAAAAGAUUCUAGCUUCCUUUCUCUGAGGUUAGGUAGGGUUAUCUGGAGUAUGACGCUUGCUCCACCCUUGGGGGGUUAAUCCUGGAGGUUGAACUCCUACUAGAGGCAGGGUUUAGGUUUAGGUAUGCUACAAUCUCUUCACUGAAUGACAAUUGCUCUAGAGAUUUUAAAUCAGUGCACAGCCCAGCAAUUGCUGGUCCACACUAGAUACUUCUAAUAUCUGUUUGAGCAGUGGCAAGCGACAAGGCAGAUGCCCAGACACCAGAUGCAGAUCUCCUUUUGAUUCUGCUCAUGUGGUAUAAGAUUCUUCAUCUUGAAAGUAAUCAAUAAAUUCCAUAUCACCAGGUUUUUACAAACCCUAAAUGAGAUAUAAAGCUUUUAAGUUUUAGUACAUAGUAAAUUGUACCUUUUACUACUAUUUAAGCACUAAUAUAUCCCAUGAAGGACUUCAGUGUUUGACUGGAAACCCAUCCAAUGCCUUGAUCCACUGACUUCCCUGACUUCAAAAACCUCUUAUACUUAUCCUUGUGAUCAUAUUUAGAACAUGUCAUCAUCUGGAGCUAUAACACUUUAGAACUUUUAAAAUUGAAUAUCCCAAACCUACAUCAUAAUUUCUCUCCUUUCCUUUAUCUCUUCUAUAAACUCUUAUUGUGCAUUUACUUCACGUCAGAUAUAGCAAAAUGAAUUAGACAAAUUUCCAUUCUCAUGAAGCUCAGGGAACAUAUGUAGAGAUAAGAUAUUAAUAAUGAAAAACUGAGGGCUGAGGUUGUGGCUCAGCAGUAGAGCACUUGCCUAGUCUGUACGAGGGUGCUGGGUUUGAGCCUCAGCACUACACAAAAAUAAAUAAAUAAAUAGAGGUAUUGUGUCUAUCUAUUAAAAAAAGAAAAAAGAUGAAACACUGAAGUUUGAACUACAGACACAUAUUUGAGAGCCAAUUAAUAUUGCUAAGAAUUUUAUAGUCUCAUGAGAUGACAGUAGUUCCUUCCCUCCUCCCAUCUCCUCACCAGAAGUGGCCAGGUGCAGAUCCUCCAGCAGGAAGAGGAGAGAGCUUUUAUUAUCAGGUUGGCGCCCGGGCCAUGGACUAGCUUGUGCUUGGCCCUGGAUCCCUCUGCUCAGCAAGAGGCGAAGGCGCAGGUGGGGGUCAAGCAGACCACGCAAGAUACGUGCCAGGCUGGUGACUUCUGCCACACCUGGGCAAACAGCCUGCUGCCCAUGUACCUGCAAUAGAGAACUGGCAUGCUUGCAGAUGGGAACUAGCCUACCUGCUCGACUGUAUAGAAGGGCUAAAUGAACACAUCUGUCCUGUUUUGUGGGCUGGUAAGGCCCUUGGCAGCCUUCCCUCUAGACCAUAUUGGCUACUGUAACAUCAAGAUGUCGUUCUUUAGCAGACACAGAGACAUUCCCACAUUAAUGUGGUUAUCGAAUACUAGACAAAGGCACCAAAAACAUACAUUGGAGAAAAGAUAGCCUCUUCAACAAAUGUUGCUGUGAAAACUGGAAAUCCAUAUGUAGUAGAAUGAAAUUGAACUCCUAUCUCUUA